GCUAAAAAUCUAGCUUAACUACAAAAUUAAUCACAACAACAGUUAAAAAAUUAACACAACCACAACCACCUAA
rnacentral:rRNA from 1 species